rnacentral:lncRNA from 1 species
GUGUGUGUGGGGGGGCGGUGUCUGUGGGGCGAGUGUGGGGCCGGGGGGGCAGGGUCUGCGUGGGGGUGUGUGCGUGUGUGUGUGUGUGUGCGUGUGCAUGUGCGUGCAGCACGGCCCUGCAGGGGGUGCAUGUGCUGCUGUGAGCAAGGGUGACCGUGUGGGUGCAGGUACAUGCGUGAGUGUGCGUGUCCGUGUGCGUGUGCACACAGCAGAGCAGCAGCCCCUCCCUGCAGGGUUGUGUGUGUGAGCGAGUGCCUGCAUGUGUGUGCAUGCUUGUACAUGUGUGUGAGCACGCAGUGGGGCUGCAGCCCCUCCCUGCAGGGGUGUGCGUGUGUGAGCAGUGUGUGCAUGGAUGUGCAGUGUGUGUGCAUGCCUGUACACCCAUGGAUGUGUGUGUGUUUACAUGUGUGUGCAUGUGCACGCAUGCAUGUAUGUGCGUGUAUGCGCACACAGCAGGCUGCAGUUUCUCCCUGCAGGGAGAUGUAUGUGCUGGCGUGAGCAAGAGUGCCAGUGUCUGUGCAGUGUGUACAUGCAUGUAUACAUGUGAGCGUGUGCAAGCAGCAGAGCUGCAGCUCCUUGCUGCAGGGGUGUGUGUGUGUGUGUGUGUGAGCAGUGUGUGCAUGGGAUGCGUGUGCAUUGUGGGGCUGCGGCCCUGCAGCGUGUGCACGUGCUUGCACAUGUAAGCCAGAGGCUGCAGCCUCUGCCAGCAGGGCUCUGUUUACAUCUGUGUUUAUAGCUGUGCGUGCAUGCGUGCACACGUGCCCCGGGGCCGCAUUCUGUGCAGCAGUGAGCACGCACGAUGUGUGCGCGUGCAAACACGGGGGGCUGCGGUCCCUGCAGGUGUUGUCAGCGUGUGCGUGCAGCUGCUUGCACGCGUGCGGGGGGGCGGGGGGGGCUGCGGUCCCCGCGGAGCCGCGCGUGUGCACAGAUGCACGUGCAAUAUACACACGUACGGCGCAGGCACGCACAGCGCACGCUUGUGCAAUGCGCACACGCGCAGUCGGGCGGCUGCGGGCGUCGGUGUGCGGGCAGCGGGGCUGCGGGCGGGCGGGGCCUGCCCUUGUGCGGGAGCGCCCGGCCGCGCUGCCCGGCGUCUCGGGGCUG